rnacentral:rRNA from 1 species
UCAUGCAGUCGAGCGGACAGAAGGGAGCUUGCUCCCGGAUGUUAGCGGCGGACGGGUGAGUAACACGUGGGUAACCUGCCUGUAAGACUGGGAUAACUCCGGGAAACCGGAGCUAAUACCGGAUAGUUCCUUGAACCGCAUGGUUCAAGGAUGAAAGACGGUUUCGGCUGUCACUUACAGAUGGACCCGCGGCGCAUUAGCUAGUUGGUGAGGUAACGGCUCACCAAGGCGACGAUGCGUAGCCGACCUGAGAGGGUGAUCGGCCACACUGGGACUGAGACACGGCCCAGACUCCUACGGGAGGCAGCAGUAGGGAAUCUUCCGCAAUGGACGAAAGUCUGACGGAGCAACGCCGCGUGAGUGAUGAAGGUUUUCGGAUCGUAAAGCUCUGUUGUUAGGGAAGAACAAGUGCAAGAGUAACUGCUUGCACCUUGACGGUACCUAACCAGAAAGCCACGGCUAACUACGUGCCAGCAGCCGCGGUAAUACGUAGGUGGCAAGCGUUGUCCGGAAUUAUUGGGCGUAAAGGGCUCGCAGGCGGUUUCUUAAGUCUGAUGUGAAAGCCCCCGGCUCAACCGGGGAGGGUCAUUGGAAACUGGGAAACUUGAGUGCAGAAGAGGAGAGUGGAAUUCCACGUGUAGCGGUGAAAUGCGUAGAGAUGUGGAGGAACACCAGUGGCGAAGGCGACUCUCUGGUCUGUAACUGACGCUGAGGAGCGAAAGCGUGGGGAGCGAACAGGAUUAGAUACCCUGGUAGUCCACGCCGUAAACGAUGAGUGCUAAGUGUUAGGGGGUUUCCGCCCCUUAGUGCUGCAGCUAACGCAUUAAGCACUCCGCCUGGGGAGUACGGU